rnacentral:rRNA from 1 species
GAUGAACGCUGGCGGCGUGCUUAACACAUGCAAGUCGAACGGGAAACCUUUUAUUGAAGCUUCGGCAGAUUUAGCUGGUUUCUAGUGGCGGCCGGGUGAGUAACGCCUGGGUAACCUGCCUUAUCCAGGGGGAUAACAGUCAGAAAUCGCUGCUAAUCUCUCAUAAGCGCACAUAGCUGCAUAGCACAGUGUGAAAAACUCCGGUGGUUUAAGAUGGACCCACGUUGGAUUAGCUGGUAGGAGGGGUAACGGCCCACCAAGGCGACGAUCCAUAGCCGGCCUGAGAGGGUGAACCGCCACAUUGGGAGUGAGAGACGGCCGAGACUCCUACGGGAGGCAGCAGGGGGGAAUAUGGAACAACGGGGGAGACAAUGAGGCAGCCACGCCGCGAGAAGGAAGAAGUAUCGCGGAAUGUAAACUUCUAUCAGCAGGGAAGAUAAUGACGGUACCUGACCAAGAAGCCCCGGCUAACUACGUG